AAUCAGCGCAUUGCUUUUUAAAAUUAUUUUAAUGAAAUUACCUUUAUAAUUUCUUAAACGUUUCAAUUCAUUGAAUUGUUUUCCUUUAAGAUCACUGCAUAAUUAUGGGAGUACUUCACAUUAUCACAAAACAAAAAGGUGGUUUUACACUGUGCAGUGUGAUGCCAAACCACAGCGGCAUUAGCGCUGUGCAUGACCACCUGAAGAGGAACCACACAGGCGCUGUUCUGGAUGAUGGCCGGACCGCUAGAGUAGACGGAACCACCCUCAGUGCAGCCAAUUCAUGUUCAUUAAAUUAACAUUAAAACAGAGAGCUUUUUAAUAAACUGAAGUGGCCUCCAGGGAUGCUUUUCCAACUGUCCUGAAGGACGUCCCACAUAUGCUGAGCACUCAUUGGUCGCUGGUCAAACUCCUCCAAAACAAUUUCUGCUGUGUUUAGGUCAGGAGACCUGGUCAUGUGAUGUGACAGUAUCACCUUCCUUCGUAGGAGGCUUGGCGUGUCCAAACAUUUGACUAGUACUGUUCUUUGAAAAAGUGUUUUACAGUGUUUUCAAACUUUGCAGAGACAUUUUAUGGGUGACACUGGAAGUGAUCAUAUUUUGAGACAGAAUGCCCAAAAAUUGAUUUGGGACUGCAUAGUAAUUGCAAAAAUGGGGCAAUUUCAGACACUGAAUAACUCAAAAAAUAUUUGACAGAUCUUUUUCAACCAGUGCAGACACACUGUAAGGAUGACGAUGAGGACGUGGUCAAAUUUUGAGACAAAUUGCACCAAAAUUGGACUUGAUAUACCUGACACCUGAGCUCCAAAAUUUUUGUCCAUUAAAAGUGCAGGAGAAUAAAUUUGGACUUGUGCAGGUAGACUUGCUGGUCUUUACACAAGAGGAGUCUUUACACAAUAUUAGACAGCAAAGUUGAAGGCCAGGAGACAAAAAAGUUGUCUAUCUGGGAACUGAUGUUUACCUUUCUCUGCAGGCAUUCCUUGUAAGGCUGUAAAACAAGAGGAAGGUCCAUCCCCAGCAGACAAUCAUUCGAUGGCUGUAAACCACCAGGACGAUCCAUCCACAAAAGUGCCUCUGACGAAUUCAGAAAACACAGAAGGUAACACAAUCUCUUUUUACGCUGGAAUAGUGACCUGUUUUUUCAUUCCCGUACAUCUACUAUUAAUAUUUGUCUAGGAAAUAUAACAUGAGCUGAACAUGUUUUAAUUGGACAUUGUAAUAAAUAAGUACAUAAAUAAAGGGUCCUAGCUGGCAUGAUUUAGUUUCCAUGGUUACUCAUAUCACUGUUUAUAAUGGUUGAUCACAGCUGUCGAACUGACCCUUGUUAUUAGUAUUAUAACAACGUACUGUUGGAUUGAAGGAUAUUGGUAAAUGUUGUUGGUGCUUUGGCUAUAUGCACCGAGUAUUUGGGGAAGGAAGAUUCAUGGCUGUGAGGUCACCAGUUUAGCAGAGUGAUGGAAUGGUGGACUGCUGCAGUUCAUGUAAAAUGAUGUGGUCAGUGACUGCUGCAGUUCAUGUAAAAUGAUGUGGUCAGUGACUGCUGCAGUUCAUGUAAAAUAAGUGGUCAGUGACUGCUGCAGUUCAUGUAAAAUAAGUGGUCAGUGACUGCUGCAGCUCAUGUAAAAUAAGUGGUCAGUGACUGCUGCAGUUCAUGUAAAAUAAGUGGUCAGUGACUGCUGCAGCUCAUGUAAAAGAAGUGGUCAGUGACUGCUGCAGUUCAUGUAAAAUAAGAGGUCAGUGACUGCUGCAGUUCAUGUAAAAUGAUAAGUGGUCAGUGACUGCUGCAGUUCAUGUAAAAUGAUAAGUGGUCAGUGAUUUCUG